GAAAUGCGAUAAGUAAUGUGAAUUGCAGAAUUCAGUGAAUCAUCGAAUCUUUGAACGCACAUUGCGCCCGCCAGUAUUCUGGCGGGCAUGCCUGUCUGAGCGUCAUUUCAACCCUCAUGCCCCUAGGGCGUGGUGUUGGGGAUCGGCCAAAGCCCGCGAGGGACGGCCGGCCCCUAAAUCUAGUGGCGGACCCGUCGUGGCCUCCUCUGCGAAGUAGUGAUAUUCCGCAUCGGAGAGCGACGAGCCCCUGCCGUUAAACCCCCAACUUUCCAAGGUUGACCUCAGAUCAGGUAGGAAUACCCGCUGAACUUAA
rnacentral:misc_RNA from 1 species